CUUUCUACAUUUGUACCUCAAUGAAAAACAAUACAAAAAAUACAUGGUGGUGGAACUCUCUUAUUAAAUAAGUGAGAAGUAUACUAUAUGUAAAAAUAUAAUAAAAAGGCUUAUC
rfam:Polaribacter sp. KT25b genome assembly, chromosome: I